CAGCCGCCACGGUAAUACGAAGGGGGCUAGCGUUGCUCGGAAUGACUGGGCGUAAAGGGCGCGUAGGCGGUUUUCCAAGUUAGAUGUGAAAUUCCUGGGCUCAACCUGGGGACUGCAUUUGAUACUGGGAGGCUUGAGUAUGGAAGAGGGUCGUGGAAUUCCCAGUGUAGAGGUGAAAUUCGUAGAUAUUGGGAAGAACACCGGUGGCGAAGGCGGCGACCUGGUCCAUAACUGACGCUGAGGCGCGAAAGCGUGGGGAGCAAACAGGAUUAGAUACCCGGGUAGUCCCUGUCUCUUAUAC
rnacentral:rRNA from 1 species